rnacentral:rRNA from 1 species
CCUACGGGAGGCAGCAGUGGGGAAUCUUGCGCAAUGGGGGAAACCCUGACGCAGCGACGCCGCGUGGAGGAUGAAGGCCUUCGGGUUGUAAACUCCUUUUCUUGGGGAAAAUGGUGAUGGUACCCAAGGAAUAAGCCACGGCUAACUCUGUGCCAGCAGCCGCGGUAAGACAGAGGUGGCAAGCGUUGUUCGGAAUUACUGGGCUUAAAAGGCGAGUAGGCGGCAGGGCAAGUCUAGGGUGGAAUCCUAUGGCUUAACCAUAGAAUUGCCUUAGAAACUGCUUUGCUUGAGUCAGUGAGGGGAUGGCGGAAUUCCUGGUGUAGCGGUGAAAUGCGUAGAUAUCAGGAGGAAGGCCCGUGGCGAAGGCGGCCAUCUGGCACUGCACUGACGCUGAGGCGCGAAAGCGUGGGGAGCAAACAGGAUUAGAUACCCUGGUAGUCCACGCCCUAAACGGUGGGCAUUAGGUGUAGGGCUCGUAAGGGUUCUGUGCCGAAGGGAAACCAUUAAAUGCCCCGCCUGGGGAGUACGGCCGCAAGGUUGAAACUCAAAUGAAUUGACGGA